AGUGAACGCUGGCGGUAGGCCUAACACAUGCAAGUCGAACGGCAGCACAGUAAGAGCUUGCUCUUACGGGUGGCGAGUGGCGGACGGGUGAGGAAUACAUCGGAAUCUACUUUUUCGUGGGGGAUAACGUAGGGAAACUUACGCUAAUACCGCAUACGACCUACGGGUGAAAGCAGGGGAUCUUCGGACCUUGCGCGAUUGAAUGAGCCGAUGUCGGAUUAGCUAGUUGGCGGGGUAAAGGCCCACCAAGGCGACGAUCCGUAGCUGGUCUGAGAGGAUGAUCAGCCACACUGGAAGUGAGACACGGUCCAGACGCCUACGGGAGGGAGCAGUGGGGAAUAGUGGACAAUGGGCGCAAGCCUGAUCCAGCCAUACCGCGUGGGUGAAGAAGGCCUUCGGGUUGUAAAGCCCUUUUGUUGGGAAAGAAAAGCAGCAGGUUAAUACCCCGCUGUUCUGACGGUACCCAAAGAAUAAGCACCGGCUAACUUCGUG
rnacentral:rRNA from 1 species